rnacentral:rRNA from 1 species
AGCGACAGAAGAAAGCACCGGCUAACUCCGUGCCAGCAGCGCGGUAAUACGGAGGUGCGAGCGUUAAUACGGAAUUACUGGGACGUAAAGACGCAUGCAGGUGGUUUGUUAAGUCAGAUGUGAAAGACCCGGGCGUCAACCUACGGAAUAGACAUUUAGUAAACGUAGGCGAGACUAGAGUACUGUAGGAGGGGGUAGGAAUUUCAGGUGUAGCGGUGAAAUGCGUAGAGAUCUGAAGGAAUACCGGUGGCGAAGGCGGCCCCCUCGGACAGAUACUGACACUCAGAUGCGAAAGCGUGGGGAGCAAACAGGAUUAGAUACCCUGGUAG